rnacentral:rRNA from 1 species
CCUGGCGGCAAUAGCGAGUGGGAACCACCCGAUCCCAUCUCGAACUCGGAAGUGAAAACGCUCAGCGCCGAUGGUAGUGUGGGGUCUCCGCAUGUGAGAGUAGGACACCGCCAGGC